rnacentral:rRNA from 1 species
UACAGAGGUGGCAAGCGUUGUUCGGAAUUACUGGGCGUAAAGGGCGCGUAGGCGGCCUACUAAGUCAGACGUGAAAUCCCCCGGCUUAACCUGGGAACUGCGUCUGAUACUGGAAGGCUUGAGGAUGGGAGAGGGAUGUAGAAUUCCAGGUGUAGCGGUGAAAUGCGUAGAUAUCUGGAGGAAUACCAGUGGCGAAGGCGAGUCUCUGGGAUGAUGCUGACGUUGAGGCGCGAAAGCCAGGGGAGCAACGGG